CUGCGAAUGGCUCAUUAAAUCAGUUAUCGUUUAUUUGAUAGUACCUUACUACUUGGAUAACCGUGGUAAUUCUAGAGCUAAUACAUGCUAAAAACCCCGACUUCGGGAGGGGUGUAUUUAUUAGAUAAAAAACCAAUGCCCUUCGGGGCUCCUUGGUGAAUCAUAAUAACUUAACGGAUCGCAUGGCCUUGCGCCGGCGACGGUUCAUUCAAAUUUCUGCCCUAUCAACUUUCGAUUGUAGGGUAUUGGCCUACAAUGGUAUCAACGGGUAACGGGGAAUUAGGGUUCGAUUCCGGAGAGGGAGCCUGAGAAACGGCUACCACAUCCAAGGAAGGCAGCAGGCGCGCAAAUUACCCAAUCCCGACACGGGGAGGUAGUGACAAUAAAUACUGAUACAGGGCUCUUUUGGGUCUUGUAAUUGGAAUGAGUACAAUUUAAAUCCCUUAACGAGGAACAAUUGGAGGGCAAGUCUGGUGCCAGCAGCCGCGGUAAUUCCAGCUCCAAUAGCGUAUAUUAAAGUUGUUGCAGUUAAAAAGCUCGUAGUUGAACCUUGGGCCUGGCUGGCCGGUCCGCCUCACCGCGUGCACUGGUCCGGCCGGGCCUUUCCUUCUGGAGAACCGCAUGCCCUUCACUGGGUGUGUCGGGGAACCAGGACUUUUACUGUGAAAAAAUUAGAGUGUUCAAAGCAGGCCUUUGCUCGAAUACAUUAGCAUGGAAUAAUAGAAUAGGACGUGCGGUCCUAUUUUGUUGGUUUCUAGGACCGCCGUAAUGAUUAAUAGGGAUAGUCGGGGGCAUCAGUAUUCAAUUGUCAGAGGUGAAAUUCUUGGAUUUAUUGAAGACUAACUACUGCGAAAGCAUUUGCCAAGGAUGUUUUCAUUAAUCAGUGAACGAAAGUCAGGGGAUCGAAGACGAUCAGAUACCGUCGUAGUCUUGACCGUAAACUAUGCCGACUAGGGAUCGGGCGAUGUUAUUAUUUUGACUCGCUCGGCACCUUACGAGAAAUCAAAG
rnacentral:rRNA from 1 species